UCCGGCUUGACGCCGGCAGUCCCCCGAGAGUCCUCAGCAUGACCUGUUAGUAACACGGGGCAAGGGUUGCGCUCGUUGCGGGACUUAACCCAACAUCUCACGACACGAGCUGACGACAGCCAUGCAGCACCUGUGCUAGUGUUCCGAAGAAGGGCCCCUGUUUCCAGAGGCUUUCACUAGCAUGUCAAACCUAGGUAAGGUUCUUCGCGUUGCUUCAAAUUAAACCACAUGCUCCACCGCUUGUGCGGGCCCCCGUCAAUUCCUUUGAGUUUCGGUCUUGCGACCGUACUCCCCAGGCGGGGCGCUUAAUGCGUUAGCUGCGGCACGGAGACCUGGAGAGGCCCCCACACCUAGCGCCCAACGUUUACAGCGUGGACUAC
rnacentral:misc_RNA from 1 species